GACGAACGCUGGCGGCGUGCUUAACACAUGCAAGUCGAACGAAGAGCGAUGGAAGCUUGCUUCUAUCAAUCUUAGUGGCGAACGGGUGAGUAACGCGUAAUCAACCUGCCCUUCAGAGGGGGACAACAGUUGGAAACGACUGCUAAUACCGCAUACGAUCUAAUCUCGGCAUCGAGGAUAGAUUAAAGGUGGCCUCUACAUGUAAGCUAUCACUGAAGGAGGGGAUUGCGUCUGAUUAGCUAGUUGGAGGGGUAACGGCCCACCAAGGCGAUGAUCAGUAGCCGGUCUGAGAGGAUGAACUGCCACAUUGGGACGGAGACACGGCCCAGAAUCCUAAGGGAGGCAGCAGGGGGGAAUCUUCCGCAAUGGACGAAAGUCUGACGGAGCAACGCCGCGUGAGUGAUGACGGCCUUCGGGUUGUAAAGCUCUGUUAAUCGGGACGAAAGGCCUUCUUGCGAAUAGUGAGAAGGAUUGACGGUACCGGAAGAGAAAGCCACGGCUAACUACGUG
rnacentral:rRNA from 1 species